UCCGAGCGAAGGUUAAAAUGGACAAGAAGGUGCUGUUGUAAAAUGGAGAAUUGAGAAGCAUUAAUAGCCUCUAUAACAAGGAGAUAAUGCAGGAACGAAGAACUCAUGUCAAGCAUUGACAGCAUACCAAGUCAAUGUUUCCGGUGAUUAGUUGCAUCCUCUGUUCGGUGAUUCGGGUGAAUGUUUUGACCAGCUGGACGAUGUGAACGCAAGAUAAAUAGAACACAUAAAGUACAGCCCAGUGAAACGAACAAGUUCAUCGCAAGAAGAAGAAUUUUAAUGCUACCACUGUCCAGAAC